rnacentral:lncRNA from 1 species
ACUGUCACUCCCUUGUACCCAGUGGCGUGCCAAGGCUUGAGGGCUGACAAGGUCAUCCCAUGGUCACCUGCCCUGCUUGUCUGUCUGUCCAUCCUUCAUGAGGAUGAGCCAGAACUGAGGACACAGAGACCCCUAACCACUGCUCUCUCCUGAUUCCAUCUUUCCAGGUCCAGCCCGUCCGGCUUCUCUGAAGCCUUUGCAGAACCCAGUGGCAGAGCUGGCUGUAGUUUACCUUCCCAGCCUACCCUGGAAGAGAGGAACUCACCUGCACAGAGACACUGUCUGUCUCCUUCCCAACUAAAGAGCAUGUGAUUUCAGACCCGGAAGGCCAGCUCUGGGGUGCUCCCUAAAGGCCCAUUCUCUUUUCUCACUGGCAGACACCAGGUUCUGACUCAACCUUGGCUCCUGAGCAAUGUGUAGUACCUUCUGUCCCCCCGGAGGUCCUCUUAACAAGCCCCAAACCAGGCCAUUUGCAGUGAUUCCCUCCCUGGGUCCUUGACGACGGAGCCUUGUCCACCCCGCUCUACUCGAGAGAAGAUUCAUGAGGCAGGAAUCUCUCCUCUCACAAGCCUACAUCCCCGACCUAGCAGCAGGCCUCUUGAAGGUGCCAGAGGGAUCAAGAUGACUGGCCCAAGGUCACCUGGAAACCAAGGAAGGAAACCAGUCUCCCCAGAGGGCUGCAGGACACAUUAGCUUCCAUCAGAAGUCGUACGUGCUGACCCCACCUGAUCUCCAACCGCCCUCAGUUUUGGCCACGCUCCCUAAACCUCAGUUUUCUUCUCAGAGAUGGAGGCUGGCCAGAGAACUCUUCUUAGCUGUGUGUCUGCCAACACACACUCCUGAGAGAUCUUCGUCUUUAUAUUCAACUUCUACAGGGCAGUGACUAGCCAGGACUCCCGUGUCCUAGGGUGCGAAGAAAGGAGUUCUCUGCCACAGCUUCUGAUGGAGCCUCGGUGUGACUCUGGGAAGGUCCUGCCUGACCCUCACAUGCUCUUUUCUGACUGGUGGUGUCAGGCUGCCAGCUUUCUGCAGUAUGACCCACAAAGGGGCAUACAGCAGUAUGAUAGGUCUUAAGUCAGUGUGGAGGAAGCCUCCCCACCACCUCAGAGCUCGUGUGAACUCUGCUAAGAAGUGGUCCUUGUCUUGGACUCCUGGCCCCUGCCCUUUCUUGGGUCUCCAUGGCCACCUGCUGUACCCAUCUCAGGUUUGGGUGUGGAGUCUUCACCAGAGCAUGAGUCAACUUCUGCCCAACAUCUGAUGCUCAUUUCUGGGUCUGAGAUUCCUGGGCCCUGGAAUAGUGGACCCUCCAUCCUUGGUCCUCCGUGGCUCUCUGCACUCUCAAGUUGCCCAUGGUCCAAGCUCUUCCCUCUGGGCUUCUGGAGCCUGCCUGGGGGUCAUGGAUGGGUCAAGCCUGGAGACUGUGGCUCACUGCUCUGUAGUGCUAGGAUUCAUGGUCCCUGUUUGGGCUUUUUCUUCUCUGUAAUGCAGCAUCUGGAGAAACUCCCUCCCUGGGUGCAGGGUGCAGGGUGCAGGGUGCAGGGUGCAGGGUGCAGGGUGGGGAUGAUGUUUUGAUUUGUCUUCAGGAUUUCAGAGGAACACUGUAGUGGCUAUUCCCGGUUGUCAACUUGACUAUAUUUGGAAUGAACUACAAUCCAGAAUUGGAAGGCU